CCUCCUUUCUUCCUCCUUGGGGGAUCUUGCACAAUGGGGGAAACCCUGAUGCAGCGACGCCGCGUGUGGGAAGACGGUCCUCUGGAUUGUAAACCACUGUUCCCAGGGACGAAGAUGACGGUACCUGGGGAGGAAGCUCCGGCUAACUACGUGCCAGCAGCCGAGGUAAUACGUAGGGAGCGAGCGUUGUCCGGAAUUACUGGGUGUAAGGGGAGCGUAGGCGGGACUGCAAGUUGGGUGUCAAAUCUACCGGCUCAACCGGUAGCCGCACUCAAAACUGCAGUUCUUGAGUGAAGUAGAGGCAGGCGGAAUUCCUAGUGUAGCGGUGAAAUGCGUAGAUAUUAGGAGGAACACCAGUGGCGAAGGCGGCCUGCUGGGCUUUUACUGACGCUGAGGCUCGAAAGUGUGGGGAGCAAACAGGAUUAGAUACCCCAGUAGUC
rnacentral:rRNA from 1 species